rnacentral:rRNA from 1 species
GGGGAAUAUUGCACAAUGGAGGAAACUCUGAUGCAGCGACGCCGCGUGAGUGAAGAAGUAUUUCGGUAUGUAAAGCUCUAUCAGCAGGGAAGAAAAUGACGGUACCUGACUAAGAAGCACCGGCUAAAUACGUGCCAGCAGCCGCGGUAAUACGUAUGGUGCAAGCGUUAUCCGGAUUUACUGGGUGUAAAGGGAGCGUAGGUGGCAAGGCAAGCCAGAAGUGAAAACCCGGGGCUCAACCGCGGGAUUGCUUUUGGAACUGUCAUGCUAGAGUGCAGGAGGGGUGAGCGGAAUUCCUAGUGUAGCGGUGAAAUGCGUAGAUAUUAGGAGGAACACCGGAGGCGAAGGCGGCUCACUGGACUGUAACUGACACUGAGGCUCGAAAGCGUGGGGAGCAAAC